rnacentral:rRNA from 1 species
AUUGAACGCUGGCGGCAGGCCUAACACAUGCAAGUCGAGCGGCAGCGGGAAAGUAGCUUGCUACUUUUGCCGGCGAGCGGCGGACGGGUGAGUAAUGCCUGGGGAUCUGCCCGGUCGAGGGGGAUAACUACUGGAAACGGUAGCUAAUACCGCAUACGCCCUACGGGGGAAAGCAGGGGACCUUCGGGCCUUGCGCGAUUGGAUGAACCCAGGUGGGAUUAGCUAGUUGGUGAGGUAAUUGCUCACCAAGGCGACGAUCCCUAGCUGGUCUGGGAGGAUGACCGGCCACACUGGAACUGGGACACGGUCCAGAAUCCUACGGGAGGCAGCAGUGGGGAAUAUUGCACAAUGGGGGAAACCGUGAUGCAGCCAUGCCGCGUGUGUGAAGAAGGCCUUCGGGUUGUAAAGCACUUUCAGCGAGGAGGAAAGGUUGGUAGCUAAUAACUGCCAGCUGUGACGUUACUCGCAGAAGAAGCACCGGCUAACUCCGUGCCAGCAGCCGCCGUAAUAC